rnacentral:rRNA from 1 species
UUGGUUAAGUUAGAAAGGGCGCACGGUGGAUGCCUUGGCACUAGGAGCCGAAGAAGGACGGGACUAACACCGAUAUGCUUUGGGGAGCUGUACGUAAGCGUUGAUCCAGAGAUUUCCGAAUGGGGGAACCCACUAUCUUUAGUCGGAUAGUAUCCUUACGUGAAUACAUAGCGUAAGGAAGGCAGACCCAGGGAACUGAAACAUCUAAGUACCUGGAGGAAGAGAAAGAAAAAUCGAUUUCCUGAGUAGCGGCGAGCGAAACGGAAAGAGCCCAAACCAAGAAGCUUGCUUCUUGGGGUUGUAGGACACUCUAUACGGAGUUACAAAAGAAAGUUAUAAAUGAAGCGGUCUGGAAAGGCCCGCCAAAGACGGUAACAGCCCGGUAGUUGAAAUGGCUUUCCCUCCAGAGUGGAUCCUGAGUACGGCGGAACACGUGAAAUUCCGUCGGAAUCCGGGAGGACCAUCUCCCAAGGCUAAAUACUCCCUAGUGACCGAUAGUGAACCAGUACCGUGAGGGAAAGGUGAAAAGCACCCCGGAAGGGGAGUGAAACAGUUCCUGAAACCGUGUGCCUACAAGUAGUUAGAGCCCGUUAAUGGGUGAUAGCGUGCCUUUUGUAGAAUGAACCGGCGAGUUACGAUUUGUUGCAAGGUUAAGCGGAAAAAGCGGAGCCGUAGCGAAAGCGAGUCUGAAUAGGGCGCAUAAGUAACAGGUCGUAGACCCGAAACCAGGUGAUCUACCCAUGUCCAGGAUGAAGGUAAGGUAAUACUUACUGGAGGUCCGAACCCACGCACGUUGAAAAGUGCGGGGAUGAGGUGUGGGUAGCGGAGAAAUUCCAAUCGAACUUGGAGAUAGCUGGUUCUCUCCGAAAUAGCUUUAGGGCUAGCCUCGAGGUAAAGAGUCAUGGAGGUAGAGCACUGUUUGGACUAGGGGCCCUUCUCGGGUUACCGAAUUCAGAUAAACUCCGAAUGCCAUGUACUUAUACUCGGGAGUCAGACUGCGAGUGAUAAGAUCCGUAGUCGAAAGGGAAACAGCCCAGACCACCAGUUAAGGUCCCCAAAUAUAUGUUAAGUGGAAAAGGAUGUGGGGUUGCUUAGACAACCAGGAUGUUGGCUUAGAAGCAGCCACCAUUGAAAGAGUGCGUAAUAGCUCACUGGUCGAGUGACCCCGCGCCGAAAAUGUACCGGGGCUAAACAUAUU